UACAGAGGUCUCAAGCGUUGUUCGGAUUCAUUGGGCGUAAAGGGCGCGUAGGUGGCGCGGGCAGUCAACGGUGAAAGUUCGGGGCUCAACCCUGAAUCGGCCGUCGAUACUCCCGGGCUUGAGCACUGUAGAGGCAGAUGGAAUUCCGGGUGUAGCGGUGGAAUGCGUAGAGAUCCGGAAGAACCCCAGAGGCGAAGGCGGCCCCCUGGCUCGUACCUGACGCUCAGCCACGAAAGCAUGGGGAGCGAACGGG
rnacentral:rRNA from 1 species